AGUGAACGCUGGCGGUAGGCCUAACACAUGCAAGUCGAACGGCAGCACAGUAAGAGCUUGCUCUUACGGGUGGCGAGUGGCGGACGGGUGAGGAAUACAUCGGAAUCUACUUUUUCGUGGGGGAUAACGUAGGGAAACUUACGCUAAUACAGCAUACGACCUACGGGUGAAAGCAGUGGAUCUUCUGACCUUGCGCGAUUGGAUGAGCCGCUGUUGGGUUAGCUAGUUGGGGGGGUAAAGGCCCACCAAGGCGACGAUCCGUAGCUGGAGUGUGUGGAUGGUAGGCCACACUGGAGGGGAGACACGGUCAAGAGUCCUACGGGAGGCAGCAGACGGGAAUGGGGGGCAAUGGGCGCAAACCUGAUCCAGCCAGACCGCGUGGGUGAAGAAGACCUUCGGGUUGUAAAGCCCUUUUGUUGGGAAAGAAAAGCAGCAGGUUAAGACGCCGCUGUUCUGACGGUACCGAAAGAAGAAGCACCGGCUAACUUCGUG
rnacentral:rRNA from 1 species